CAAUCAUCUUCUUUAAACUUUAAAUCUCUGUGACGUACAUCUGAAUAGGAUUUUUGGCGACUCUGAGCAGUUUUAAACCUCUCCUUAAUAAUCUUGACUUUCUCCGUGGCCUAAUGUAUGAGGUCUCGCCCUAUCAAUUCCGCUUCUCCAACCUCGAAACACCCAAUUGGAUACCUACAUCUCUUUCUAUACAAUGCCUCGAAUGAUUCCAUCUGGAUAUUAGCAUGGAAGUUGUUGUUGUAAGCGAAUUAUAUG
rnacentral:lncRNA from 1 species